rnacentral:rRNA from 1 species
AUGGGAGACCUUAAUGAUAUUUUGUAUGAUACGGAUGGCUGUAAUGGUAGUGUAAAUUAUUUUCGUAUGUCUGCUUUUCGUUCUAUUGUCAAAAACUGUGGUUUCUUUGACAUCGGUUUUAGUGGUCGUGCUUACACUUGGCGCAAUAGGCAGCACACUGUUAAUCCUAUUUACAGACGUUUGGAUCGUUGUCUUGUUAAUGCUGUUUGGUGUGCUCAUUACCCCAAUACUAAGGUGUUUAAUUUACCUAUCAUCGUUAGUGACCAUGCUCCCAUACUUAUUCUACUGAUGAGUUUUGUUAAACCUAAGCAGACUUUCAAAUUUGAAAAUUGGUGGUUAAUGGAGAAGGAUUUC